CCGUCUGCAGCCUGAACGCCAUCACUCACCUGUCAGACAAAGCAGAGGGCAGUAAAGAAACACAUAAGUUAUUUGAGUCGUAAUAAUUUCCUCUGCUUCUCUAACUCCUCAGUGUGCUCGUCACUUAUCGGUAGGAUGUAGACACCCUUCGUUUGACCCGCUGCUUCCCCUGAGAUCAGGACUCAGACCGGGAGACUCUACGCUGCUUCAGGCCUGUUUACGUUUAGACCGGAGCGUGCCUGCUGGGCUGCAUGAGGCUUAAUGAUUGAUCACAGGCUUGAGAGGACCAGAGAGCGUCGGCUGUUUGAUGGUAAAGUUUCAGACACGUGAAAUAAUCCAAAAUUCGAUGGGAAUUUUACAACAAACCCCCUUAAAGAUGUAAAUUGUGCGAUUUUUACCGUCUUGGCUGCCAGCGUUAAAAAAGAAACGACCCAAUGCAGACUAACAAUAGUCGGUUUUAUCUCUAUUUAUUCAGGGAAGGUUUGCUGGUUGUGUGUUUGCAGCUACACCCUCCUCAAAAAGGUCACAUUCAGCCACAGCUUCAGAGGACUUCCACCAGA